GCAUUGGAUCAGGCUUCUAUUUUCUGCGACAUGUGGUGACGAGAUCAGACUGCAGAAGAAUACAUCAGUUACUUGUAGCAUACAAGACAAUGGGGGUGGGUGGUUGCACUCACAGCGUCAGGUGCUGCUGCUCCACUAGACACAAACCACUCUCUGGCUUGCGCUGCUAGACUGCCACAUUCCAGCAUUUACUUGUGGUGACUGCCUUUAGUGGGAUCUGGGAAGGAUGGAUGCAUCAGCUGCAGCGAGAAAUCAGUUCAGAGUUUAGCUGAUAGCCAAGAACGCUGGUGUUCAAGCAGUUCAACGGCUGUGCUGCAGAGAAGAAGGCCAGCCGGACAAUCUCUCAUUUCCAGGGCAUGCAUCUUCACGAGCAGGAGAACAUUAGGAACAGUUGAAGGUAGUGCCUGAAGAACACAUAACUCAAAUUCUCUAGACUAGAUGGUUGAUGCAACUGACAUACGGGGGACAACGAGUAGGAGAAAUGGAAGUUUGGGCUUUAGAAGGAUUUGGUGUUGCUCAUAUUUUACAAGAGAUACUUACUUAUAAAUCUGACCAUCUUAUAGCUCGCCAAGAAAUACUUGAUGCUACAAUCUGGGGAAAAAGAAUACCUAAUCAUGAGGAUCCUCCAGAAUCUUUUCGAGUGCUCGUUCGAGAACUACGAUCUUUGGCUCUAGAACUGAAUCAUUUCCUUGUAUCCUGCUAGCCAAAUAUUUCACUUGAUCAGAGCUUUGGGUUGCUUCUUCUUCUUAGUUUCCUUUUCCCCCUUGGGUUAGAGAGUUUAGAUGUGUGGCCCUUCUCUACUUUGCUAUUUCGUCCGUACAGUCUUGUCUCUUCUUUGCGCUCUUGUAGAUAAUAAGCCUAAGGGUUAUUACAGAUCUUUGGUCGAUGGACCUGAAUAGCAUGUGAUUCCAUGCGGCCCAGAUCUUUCACAGAGAGGUUAGUAGAACCAAAGGCCACAUAUUGGCCUGCAUGUCGUGUGGCAGUGUUGUGCCCCAUAGCUCAUCGACGUCCUCGGAUAUAGGUGAAAUACCCAAGCGUUGCCAAACUCUAUCAGCUAGAGGGCAUGAAAUGAAAGAGAUGCGAUGUGUCUUCACAUUGCUCAUGGCACCGAGGGCACACAUUGUUGGUGAUGAUGUGCUUGUGCGCGAGGUUGGCGUGGGUGUUGAGCCUGUUUCUGAAAAGUAGCCAGGCAGAGACUUUAAGUUUUCUGGGCACCUGUGCCCUCCAAAUGAUUGGAGUGUUCCUGUCGAGCUCAGGUUGUCUUCUAUACUUCUAUACUAUUAUUAAAAGAGCAAACAUGACUUCUCUCAAAGCCACACAACAAAUUGUACAUAGAAUAACCUGUACCGUCAGAUCAGAUCAACCUAAGCACAUCCUACUGCCUAUAUUACACGAACGGUCUGUCGCCUAGAUGAACGUCUGAGAUGAAAUGUUCUACCGAGCAGACGCGUGGUCUGCGAUUCUUCUAGCGCUCCGCGUUCCCGAUCCCGGCGGCCCCGCCCACAGCCCAGUGAUUUUUGGGCACGAUUCCCCUUUUAUCUCUCCCUAGAUCGAGAAAUACGGAUCCGCAGCAACGUUGCCGCCGGCCCUCCCUUCCCUUCCUCUUCGAUGCACUUCCUAAUCCACCCCGAGAUAGACGCUGCGGAGGUUGGCCUGGCGCGGGGCUGGUGAGCGUCGAGGGGUCGCAGCAGUAGAGGGGGAGGUCGGACAUGGCGGGGAGUAGGCGGCCAGGCGCGCGGCAAUGAAGGUGUUCCGCUCGGCGAUCUCUUCCGAUGGAGCGGGAGGUGGUUGGAGGAGGAGGAGGGGGCGGGCGCCCCUGCAAUUCACGAGGCCGAGGAGAGCAGCGGUUGGCCCCACAGCGAGGCCAGCGAGAGGUUGAGUCGCUCGAGCGCCGGGAACCAGAAGAUCGGCGGGAGCAGCGAAGUCGGGCGUCGUCGGGUCCCUGCGCAGCGCCAUCACGCCCUGCGUCACCCGCUCCGCUGCCAGUAGCCUGCCGCACUCCAUCGAGGCCCGGUGCCACGACCGAGGGUCGCCCAGGAAGCCCACGAGUGGACAACCAGGAGGCGACGUGACGGCGAAGGCGGCAAGAACGGCGUCGCAGUGGCUGCCGGGGCAGCAGCUUCACACUACCACACCGCCCUAGGCUUCAAAAUCUGGUAAUGCAACACCCCCUCCGCCUCCUUAGUUCGGAAAUUGGUUGGUGGUGUACAGUGGAGACUAAAAAUUCAGUGGAGGCUUCUUUCCACAAUUAUGUUCAUCUCAGCCAUAAGAUAGAGAGAGAUCAAUAGAUAACAUAUCUUUCAGUAAAAAGUAAAUUGCAGCCUUUGUUGAACCGUAGGUUUGCAAGUUUCUAGGAUCGAGACUUACAAACGUGUAAAUGCAAUUAAUUAGACUGGCCUACUCCUCUACAACAUUGCUGAGAUUCAACAUUCAGGAGAGUAUCACAUAUGGAAAAUCCUCUACAACUGACCAGACUGUUCGAAUUGUUUUUGAUGGUCUUUAUUUGAAUUUUGUAAGUGAAUAAGCAGGAAAGCUUCGAGAGAACUCAGUGCAUCAUUUCUUAUGCAACUGCUACUGCAAUCGAUUCCUUUCCAAGCGCUGGUAAUAUCUUUCUACAGAGCUUUUUCCUUUGUAUGCAAAUGUGAAAGAAAAAAUAUAUCCUGGCUAUGGUAUGUGGAUUAUUAUUCUCCUUAAACAACUGGCACAACUACUUUCUGUCGGUGAAGGUGUUUCAGAUAGUAGAGCCACAAAAACACUCUAAAUCUAGGAAUGCAGUGAGUAUGUGAUGUUUUUUUUCUUGAUGUGCAGGGUGGUACCAUUGGAUAGUUGUUCGUCAGGACAAUUUUGUUUGAAGUUCAAGCUGGUAUCAAAUAUUUGCUCUGGUGUUCGUAAGCCAUAGAUGUACAAAUGAUGUUAUUUCUUGAAGUCAAUUUGAAAUUUAUGUCCAUUAUGAUUAACAAAUAAACUACUCAUCAUGAUCUUAUUUGUAUAUUUUGAAAUUGUUUCCUGGUUGAUGUAUUAGGAAAGCAUGGUUAGUCCAAAUUUAAAUAGUAUACUGCAGUUCAGUUGAACAUAGUAAGUAUGGUUUAUAAGAAAUGAUCAAAAUUAUCUGCUGUGAAGAACACGUUAAGCUUCUGUUUUCAAUCUCCCUGUACUUCCAUGGUUCCAUAUCUUCUCUUAUAGGUUUGUUAUCUUGUCUGCUUGUAGAACUGUACAACAAGUUAGUUUGUUAUUCAAGCAAAAUCCAUUUAUUAUACAAAGUGUGCAUGGAUUGCUUGAUUACUGGGAUUGUAGACCACUAGGUAGUUCCAAAUUCAUUUAUUUUGUAGAAUUCCGCAGUCAAAAAAUUAUGGUAGCCCACUAGAAUUGUAUAAGGUUUGCUUAUUUAGCGCAGACUUUGCAAUUUGUGGCCAAUGGCAAUUCCAUAUUAUUUAGGCAGUUGUGAAUUCUAUGAAAUAUGGAUGAAAAGUUUCAUUGCAGAUCAUGUAUUUUUCUUUCAGCAUUUCAGUGUUUUGACAUAUUUCAGUGCAAAAUAAACUAACAUCUACAUGUCAAAGAGCAUCUUGAUGCAUAUAAAGAAUGAGUGGCGCAUCAAUGACUUGAGUUUUAUGGGUUUAUAUUGUCUCACGGAGUCCCCUUCCCUCGAAACUGGGCAAAUAGGUAGGUGUGUUUACAAGAUUCUUUUGGUUUCCUGAGUUCAUAUACGUUGAUACUCGGUAGACUACUGUGAUUGCUGAGCUCCCGACGAAAGAAAACUCGCCAAACUUUGAACAUGGCAUGCGAGAUGAUUCCAGUGGUGUCUGUUUGUGUGUAACUGACAGGAACAUUCGUCGCUUCAUGUAAAAAAGAUCCUAUAUGCCGCAAUAGGUGCAAGCAAGCGUUUUCCUGUAUGACAGGAACAUUUAUCGUGCCAAUACAUUUUUUAUUCAAAUAAUUGUCUCUUAACUAUGAUGAAUGAGGAAUUAUCAAGUGUUUUAUACGUGCGUUGCACGUGCAAAUGCACUACAGAAAAAACAUUUAUGCUGAUAUGUACUCGGGGUAGGGUUCGGCGAGUGUAAAACUCGGUGAAGUGCACUUGGCAUACACCUGGCAUGGGGUUUGUGAAAAUACUACUACUUAAGUAAAGCACCAACAGAAGUGGGUGUAUUGAUGUGUCGUAUCUAUGUGCUUGUGGAAUGGUCGGCACUACAAGUUUAUUUUACCUGACUUGAUGAAAUUUACACACAAUGAUAUCAUGUGUUGGUUCUAUUACUUCACCAUCUGCAUCAUCCUAAUUGCUAAGUGUAACAUUUCAGAAAAGUUGGAACCGCCAUUCUCUGUACAAUCCAAUUGUUUUAAAUAAUUUUAUCACGUGUUGUAUUCUAAUUAUUUUAUUCAGAGGUUGUAUGUGCUGAGAAGUUGUCAGUUGUGUGGUCAGUGAUCUAGAUUUAAUUUACUCCCUCCGAUCCAAAUUAAUUGAUGCUGACUUAGUACAAUUUUGGACUAAAGUGCUACUAAGUCUUUGUCAAUUAAUUUGGAUCGGAGGGAGUAGCACACUUGACAUAGUAAUGAGAAUAUUUUAGCAAUGGAUAACGUUAUCUGAACUUUUGUUUUACUUGCAUCUUGGUUAGGGUCACUGUCACCAGUGAGCAUUUGGUAACUGGGCAAAGGAUUACCCACAUGUGGUUGGAAGUGAGCGCUUGGCUAAAACUGAAGUAGAUGAAGAGAGAUCAAAGGAGGCAAAGUUCAUCAAAAAGUCACUGUCUGCACUGGGUGAUGUUAUUGCUUCCCUUGGCUCCAAAAUGCCCACGUCCCAUAUAGGUUGCACAUUAGCAUUUUCAGAAAUCAACAUAUGUUCAAGUAAGUGCUCUUCACAAAUGGUGCAUGAUGUUCUACUAUUUAUAUUUCAGGGAAUUUUUUCUGGACAAAGGAAAGGACAAGCUAUAUAUUUGUGAACUUGAAGCAAGUUCCUAUUUUUAUAGCUAUGUGAAAGAAAAACAUUUAUUUUAUGGGAAAGGCAGUCAACAGUCUGCUUCUUCUAAACAAUGUGCAUGUUUUUUCACCCUUUUUUGUUUGUUUGUAAUACCACUGAUUGCAUGCAGCAGUUUGUUAGUACUAUUCCUUUCUCCGGGUGAAUUAUUGUAUUUUUCUUCAAAUGCAUGUUCCAGUAUAGUAUUUCUUUGUAUUCCAAAUGCACGGUUUUAUUCAAAUAAUUAGUUUCAAUGUGCCGCCAUCACAGGUCAUCAGAAUCAUUCAUAACCUGCAGAUUUUUAGAUUUGAGUUGUAAUCAAGUUGGAAAGCUGUUAGCUUGCACAACCUCAUUGGUUGAUCAUUGUAGAUACAAGAGCAUUAUACAUGACACUGUCUUGUUUGUAUCUUACAGCGAAUAAGAGGAGGCAGAGGCACAACCAACUAAGUAUCAUCCCAGGUGAAAGGUGCAAAGCUUUCAUCGCAUGGAUGUCCAGAUGGUGGUUAUCCCAUGGCAUAUGGUAGUUUUUUUUAUAGAAGAUUAAAAAUGUAGCAAUGCUAGAUAUAUGUGACUAGACUUUCUGUGUAAGCUCGUGUCUUGUACUGAAUUUUUGAAAAAUGCCAAUUGAUCAAGACUUGAGUUGUGGUCA